GACGAACGCUGGCGGCGUGCUUAACACAUGCAAGUCGAACGGAAAGGCCCUGCUUUUGUGGGGUGCUCGAGUGGCGAACGGGUGAGUAACACGUGAGUAACCUGCCCUUGACUUUGGGAUAACUUCAGGAAACUGGGGCUAAUACCGGAUAGGAGCUCCUGCUGCAUGGUGGGGGUUGGAAAGUUUCGGCGGUUGGGGAUGGACUCGCGGCUUAUCAGCUUGUUGGUGGGGUAGUGGCUUACCAAGGCUUUGACGGGUAGCCGGCCUGAGAGGGUGACCGGCCACCAUACGACUGAGAUACGGACCAGACUCCUACGGGAGGCAGCAGUGGGGAGUAUUGCACAAUGGGCGGAAGCCUGAUGCAGCAACGCCGCGUGCGGGAUGACGGCCUUCGGGUUGUAAACCGCUUUCGCCUGUGACGAAGCGUGAGUGACGGUAAUGGGUAAAGAAGCACCGGCUAACUACGUG
rnacentral:rRNA from 1 species